CCUACGGGAGGCAGCAGUGGGGAAUAUUGGGCAAUGGGCGCAAGCCUGACCCAGCAACGCCGCGUGAAGGAAGAAGGCUUUCGGGUUGUAAACUUCUUUUAAGAGGGAAGAGCAGAAGACGGUACCUCUUGAAUAAGCCACGGCUAACUACGUGCCAGCAGCCGCGGUAAUACGUAGGUGGCAAGCGUUGUCCGGAUUUACUGGGUGUAAAGGGCGUGCAGCCGGGAAGAAAAGUCAGAUGUGAAAUCCCGCGGCUCAACCGCCGAACUGCAUUUGAAACUGUUUUUCUUGAGUACCGGAGAGGUCAUCGGAAUUCCUUGUGUAGCGGUGAAAUGCGUAGAUAUAAGGAAGAACACCAGUGGCGAAGGCAGAUGACUGGACGGCAACUGACGGUGAGGCGCGAAAGCGUGGGGAGCAAACAGGAUUAGAUACCCUAGUAGUC
rnacentral:rRNA from 1 species